rnacentral:rRNA from 1 species
UGAGUGAUGAAGGUCUUAGGAUUGUAAAGCUCUUUCACCGGUGAAGAUAAUGACGGUAACCGGAGAAGAAGCCCCGGCUAACUUCGUGCCAGCAGCCGCGGUAAUACGUAGGGUGCAAGCGUUAAUCGGAAUUACUGGGCGUAAAGCGUGCGCAGGCGGUUAUGCAAGACAGAGGUGAAAUCCCCGGGCUCAACCUGGGAACUGCCUUUGUGACUGCAUAGCUAGAGUGCGGCAGAGGGGGAUGGAAUUCCGCGUGUAGCAGUGAAAUGCGUAGAUAUGCGGAGGAACACCGAUGGCGAAGGCAAUCCCCUGGGCCUGCACUGACGCUCAUGCACGAAAGCGUGGGGAGCAAACAGGAUUAGAUACCCUGGUAGUCCACGCCCUAAACGA